GCUUGCGAGGGCGUAUGGUGGAUGCCUUGGCAGACAGUACCGAUGAAGGACGUUUGAGGAUGCGAUAAUCCUAGGGGAGCCUCCAACAUGGCUUUGAUCCUAGGGUCUCCGAAUGGGGGAACCCGCCGGCCGUCAUGGGCCGGCACCGCCUAUGGGCGGGGGGUACGCAGGGAAGUGAAACAUCUCAGUACCUGCAGGAAGGGAUACUCCGUGAGUAGUGGCGAGCGAAAGCGGAUCAGACCAAACCGGUUGCGCGUGAUACCCGUCGGGGGUUGCGUUGCCGGUGUUGUGGGAUCACGUGUCCCGGUUCCGACGGGCCGGGCGGGAGUCAUAAAACGGCUUGCCAGGGGAACAGGCUUGAAGGCCUGGCCGUAGAGGGUGCCAGCCCCGUACCUGGACGUGAGCCGUCUUCCGAUCGUGUUGUCCCAAGUAGCGCGGGCCUCGUGGAAUCCCGCGUGAAUCAGCCCAGACCGUUGGGUAAGUCUAAGCAUACCUGUCUGACCGAUAGCGUACCAGUACCGUGAGGGAAAGGUGAAAAGCACCCCGGGAGGGGAGUGAAACAGUUCCUGAAACCGUGCGCCCACAAACCGUCGGAGCCUCUGUGUGGGGUGACGGCGUGCCUAUCGAAAAAUGAGUCUGCGAGUCAGUGGCGGGUGGCGAGCAUAAGCCGUGUGGCGUAUGCGUAGCGAAAGCGAGUCUUAAAAGGCGUUUUUUAGUCGCUUGUCCUGGACCCGAAGCGGGAUGAUCUAGCCCUGGGCAGGUUGAAGCGCGGGUAAGACCGCGUGGAGGACCGAACCCACCUGGGUUGAAAACCGGGGGGAUGACCUGGGGCUAGGGGUGAAAGGCCAAUCAAAUUCCGUGAUAGCUGGUUCUCUCCGAAAUGCAUUUAGGUGCAGCGUCGGUCGAUUGCGUCGCGGGGGUAGAGCUACCGGAUGCUUGCGGGCCCUUGUUGGGUACCAACAGCAGCCGAACUCCGAAUACCGUUGACGUGUAUUCCGGCAGUGAGUCGGCGGGGGAUAAGCUCCGUCGUCGAGAGGGAGACAGCCCAGACCGUCGUCUAAGGUCCCGAAGCGUGUGCUAAGUGGGAAAGGAUGUGGAGUCGCAUAGACAGCCAGGAGGUUGGCUCAGAAGCAGCCAUCCUUGAAAGAGUGCGUAACAGCUCACUGGUCUAGUGGUUCCGCGCCGACAAUGUAGCGGGGCUCAAGCACACCACCGAAGACGCGGCAGCAAUCUUCAUGGUUGCUGGGUAGGAGAGCGUCCUGCGAGGGGCGAAGCGGCGGUGGAAACCGGCCGUGGACUUCGUGGGNGAUCACGUGUCCCGGUUCCGACGGGCCGGGCGGGAGUCAUAAAACGGCUUGCCAGGGGAACAGGCUUGAAGGCCUGGCCGUAGAGGGUGCCAGCCCCGUACCUGGACGUGAGCCGUCUUCCGAUCGUGUUGUCCCAAGUAGCGCGGGCCUCGUGGAAUCCCGCGUGAAUCAGCCCAGACCGUUGGGUAAGUCUAAGCAUACCUGUCUGACCGAUAGCGUACCAGUACCGUGAGGGAAAGGUGAAAAGCACCCCGGGAGGGGAGUGAAACAGUUCCUGAAACCGUGCGCCCACAAACCGUCGGAGCCUCUGUGUGGGGUGACGGCGUGCCUAUCGAAAAAUGAGUCUGCGAGUCAGUGGCGGGUGGCGAGCAUAAGCCGUGUGGCGUAUGCGUAGCGAAAGCGAGUCUUAAAAGGCGUUUUUAGUCGCUUGUCCUGGACCCGAAGCGGGAUGAUCUAGCCCUGGGCAGGUUGAAGCGCGGGUAAGACCGCGUGGAGGACCGAACCCACCUGGGUUGAAAACCGGGGGGAUGACCUGGGGCUAGGGGUGAAAGGCCAAUCAAAUUCCGUGAUAGCUGGUUCUCUCCGAAAUGCAUUUAGGUGCAGCGUCGGUCGAUUGCGUCGCGGGGGUAGAGCUACCGGAUGCUUGCGGGCCCUUGUUGGGUACCAACAGCAGCCGAACUCCGAAUACCGUUGACGUGUAUUCCGGCAGUGAGUCGGCGGGGGAUAAGCUCCGUCGUCGAGAGGGAGACAGCCCAGACCGUCGUCUAAGGUCCCGAAGCGUGUGCUAAGUGGGAAAGGAUGUGGAGUCGCAUAGACAGCCAGGAGGUUGGCUCAGAAGCAGCCAUCCUUGAAAGAGUGCGUAACAGCUCACUGGUCUAGUGGUUCCGCGCCGACAAUGUAGCGGGGCUCAAGCACACCACCGAAGACGCGNGAUACCCGUCGGGGGUUGCGUUGCCGGUGUUGUGGGAUCACGUGUCCCGGUUCCGACGGGCCGGGCGGGAGUCAUAAAACGGCUUGCCAGGGGAACAGGCUUGAAGGCCUGGCCGUAGAGGGUGCCAGCCCCGUACCUGGACGUGAGCCGUCUUCCGAUCGUGUUGUCCCAAGUAGCGCGGGCCUCGUGGAAUCCCGCGUGAAUCAGCCCAGACCGUUGGGUAAGUCUAAGCAUACCUGUCUGACCGAUAGCGUACCAGUACCGUGAGGGAAAGGUGAAAAGCACCCCGGGAGGGGAGUGAAACAGUUCCUGAAACCGUGCGCCCACAAACCGUCGGAGCCUCUGUGUGGGGUGACGGCGUGCCUAUCGAAAAAUGAGUCUGCGAGUCAGUGGCGGGUGGCGAGCAUAAGCCGUGUGGCGUAUGCGUAGCGAAAGCGAGUCUUAAAAGGCGUUUUUUAGUCGCUUGUCCUGGACCCGAAGCGGGAUGAUCUAGCCCUGGGCAGGUUGAAGCGCGGGUAAGACCGCGUGGAGGACCGAACCCACCUGGGUUGAAAACCGGGGGGAUGACCUGGGGCUAGGGGUGAAAGGCCAAUCAAAUUCCGUGAUAGCUGGUUCUCUCCGAAAUGCAUUUAGGUGCAGCGUCGGUCGAUUGCGUCGCGGGGGUAGAGCUACCGGAUGCUUGCGGGCCCUUGUUGGGUACCAACAGCAGCCGAACUCCGAAUACCGUUGACGUGUAUUCCGGCAGUGAGUCGGCGGGGGAUAAGCUCCGUCGUCGAGAGGGAGACAGCCCAGACCGUCGUCUAAGGUCCCGAAGCGUGUGCUAAGUGGGAAAGGAUGUGGAGUCGCAUAGACAGCCAGGAGGUUGGCUCAGAAGCAGCCAUCCUUGAAAGAGUGCGUAACAGCUCACUGGUCUAGUGGUUCCGCGCCGACAAUGUAGCGGGGCUCAAGCACACCACCGAAGACGCGGCAGCAAUCUUCAUGGUUGCUGGGUAGGAGAGCGUCCUGCGAGGGGCGAAGCGGCGGUGGAAACCGGCCGUGGACUUCGUGGGAGUGAGAAUGCAGACAUGAGUAGCGAGAGACGGGUGAGGAUCCCGUCCGCUGGAUGACCAAGGGUUCCGGGGCCACGUUCGUCGUCCCCGGGUGAGUCGGGUCCUAAGGCGAGGCCGACAGGCGUAGUCGAAUGGAUGAACGGGUGGAUAUUCCCGUACCGACCAUGGACCGGCAAAACCGAGACGGUGAGUACUAACCUCCGCCUCGUGGUGGUUCCUUCCUUCGGGUUGGUAUCGCCGCGUGGUGUUGGGACCGUAGCCGCAGUAGGUCAGCGCAGGGGUGACACGGAAUGGGAGCCGGCCGCGGAGGUGGUUUUCCGUGGUCAAGCACGCAGCCAGUCAUGUAGGCAAAUCCGCAUGGCGCGCAUGGCGAGGUGUGAUGAUGGGAGCCGUUAUGGCUCGAUAUCCGGUUGUCCAGGCCGUCGAGAAAAGCCUCGGCGUGAGGGCCAUGGCCGCCCGUACCCCAAACCGACACUGGUGGUCAGGUAGAGAAUACCAAGGCGAUCGAGCGAAUCCUGGUCAAGGAACUCGGCAAAUCACUCCCGUGCCUUCGGUAUAAGGGAGACCCGCUGGGGUGAACCGGCUAGCCCGGGGAGCUUUGGUGGGUGGCACAGACCAGGGGGUAGCGACUGUUUACCAAAAACACAGGUGCAUGCGAAGGCGAAAGCCGCUGUAUAUGCACUGACGCCUGCCCGGUGCCGGAAGGUUAAGAGGAUCCGUCAACUCUUCGGAGCGAAGCGGUGAAUUCAAGCCCCGGUAAACGGCGGUGGUAACUAUAACCAUCCUAAGGUAGCGAAAUUCCUUGUCGGGUAAGUUCCGACCUGCACGAAUGGCGUAACGACUUCCCCACUGUCUCGACCAGGAGCUCGGCGAAAUUGCAGUACGAGUAAAGAUGCUCGUUAAGCGCAGAAGGACGAAAAGACCCCGGGACCUUUACUAUACCUUGGUAUUGGCGUUAGGCGCGGAUUGUGUAGCAUAGGCGGGAGGCUUCGAAGCGGGUGCGCCAGCAUUCGUGGAGCCGCAAGGUGAAAUACCGCUCUGUUCUCGUUUGACGUCUAACCUCGACAAGUCAUCCUUGUCAGGGACAGUGCCUGGCGGGUAGUUCAACUGGGGCGGUUGCCUCCCAAAGAGUAACGGAGGCGCUCAAAGGUCCGCUCAGCCCGGUUGGCAAUCGGGUGUCGAGUGUAAUCGCACAAGCGGGCUUGACUGCGAGGACGACGGUCCGAGCAGGGACGAAAGUCGGAGAUAGUGAUCCGGUGCCGGCGCACGGGCGCGGCAUCGCUCAACGGAUAAAAGGUACCCCGGGGAUAACAGGCUGAUCAUUCCCAAGAGUCCAUAUCGACGGGAUGGUUUGGCACCUCGAUGUCGGCUCGUCGCAUCCUGGGGCUGGAGCAGGUCCCAAGGGUUCGGCUGUUCGCCGAUUAAAGCGGCACGCGAGCUGGGUUCAGAACGUCGUGAGACAGUUUGGUCUCUAUCCUCUGCGCUCGUUGGAAUCCUGAGGAGGCCUGCCCAUAGUACGAGAGGACCUGGGUGGACGAACCUCUGGUAUGCCGGUUGUCGCGCCAGCGGCACGGCCGGUUGGCUACGUUCGGGAGGGAUAACCGCUGAAAGCAUCUAAGCGGGAAGCCUGCUCCAAGAUUAGGAUUCCGUACGGUCUUGAACCGUUGUAGCCCGCAUGUUGAACACGUGUUUGAUAGGCCGGAGGUGGAAGUCCCGUGAGGGGUGGAGCCGACCGGUACUAACGGGCGACGGCGACA
rnacentral:rRNA from 1 species